rnacentral:ribozyme from 1 species
AAGAAGAAAAAGAAUAAGAAGGAGAAAAAGAAGAAGAAGAAAAAGAAGAAGAAGGGGUGGUAAGAGAAGAAGAAGGGAUGGCUCUUCUUCUUUUUCUUCUUCUCUCUUUGGUUCUCCUUUCUUUGGUUCUUUUGGUGUGUGC